GAUGAACGCUGGCGGCGUGCUUAACACAUGCAAGUCGAACGGGAAACAUUUUAUUGAAGCUUCGGCAGAUUUAGUUUGUUUCUAGUGGCGGACGGGUGAGUAACGCGUGGGUAACCUGCCUCACACUGGGGGAUAACAGUCAGAAAUGACUGCUAAUACCGCAUAAGCACACGUGAUCGCAUGAUCGAGCGUGAAAAACUCCGGUGGUAUGAGAUGGACCCGCGUCUGAUUAGCUAGUUGGUGGGGUAAUGGCCCACCAAGGCGACGAUCAGUAGCCGGCCUGAGAGGGUGAACGGCCACAUUGGGGACUGAGACACGGGCCCAAACUCCUACGGGAGGCAGCAGUGGGGAAUAUUGCACAAGUGGGGGAAACCCUGAUGCAGCGACGCCGCGUGAAGGAUGAA
rnacentral:rRNA from 1 species